CAGAAGAAGAGAUUUUACCUUAAGAUAAAAUGAGCAAAUCAGCAUUUAUUUCAACUGACCUGUGCCGAGUUACCAGAGGCCUAAAUAUAUAUCUAGCAGUCCAGUGUUCAGAAAAAUGUUUCUCUUCAGAAAAGUGAAGAAUAGACUCAGUAAUUUCCACAGCACAUCUGAAGCCUCACCAAACCCAUGUUCUACACAAUAAUUUUUUCCUUUAACCUUUUUUUCUCUUCCUAGAUAAACCAAAAUGUAGUAAAUUACUGUCCAAAGGACCAAGAAAAUCAGCUGGGUAACAGAAAUGGCUAAACAUUAAAGAUUUCCCUGCUGAACAAAGAACAGCACUCGGAGAUGAAAAAUAAUAAACAUCUUUCAGAGAAAGGAAGAGAGGGAAACUUACUGCUGUCAAGAAAACCAAAUGGAAAAACCCUUCCUAGCAUACGUGUCCCAUUGAGAAGCAUGGAGUUUAGCCCAGACAGCUCACAACAACCUCCACAGAGGCCAAGUGUAAAAGAAGAAACUUCCAAAGCAUCUGUUUGUACCAUGAUGGGCAGCAUUUUCACCGCAGCUCUCCAGGUUGACAAGACUGCACAGAAAAACAUCACAUGCUCUAGACCAGAGCCAUGUAAUUCAGCCUUGUAAAGGCUGAACUAGGCUCAAUCACAAGCACUGAACUAGGUGCCAUGAAACAAAUGUCUUCGGCUCGCAAUUACCUUUCCUGCUUGCAUCCAGCCAGCCUC
rnacentral:lncRNA from 1 species